rnacentral:rRNA from 1 species
GAUGAACGCUGGCGGCGUGCUUAACACAUGCAAGUCGAACGAAGCACUUUAUUUGAUUUCCUUCGGGACUGAUUAUUUUGUGACUGAGUGGCGGACGGGUGAGUAACGCGUGGGUAACCUGCCUUGUACAGGGGGAUAACAGUUGGAAACGGCUGCUAAUACCGCAUAAGCGCACAGCAUCGCAUGAUGCAGUGUGAAAAACUCCGGUGGUAUAAGAUGGACCCGCGUUGGAUUAGCUAGUUGGUGAGGUAACGGCCCACCAAGGCGACAAUCCAUAGCCGACCUGAGAGGGUGACCGGCCACAUUGGGACUGAGACACGGCCCAAACUCCUACGGGAGGCAGCAGUGGGGAAUAUUGCACAAUGGGCGAAAGCCUGAUGCAGCGACGCCGCGUGAGCGAAGAAGUAUUUCGGUAUGUAAAGCUCUAUCAGCAGGGAAGAUAAUGACGGUACCUGACUAAGAAGCACCGGCUAAAUACGUG